rnacentral:rRNA from 1 species
UACGAAGGGGGCUAGCGUUGUUCGGAUUAACUGGGCGUAAAGGGUGCGUAGGCGGGGUUUUAAGUCAGGGGUGAAAUGCCGAGGCUCAACUUCGGAACUGCCUUUGAUACUGGAACUCUUGAGUCUGGGAGAGGUGAGUGGAACUGCGAGUGUAGAGGUGAAAUUCGUAGAUAUUCGCAAGAACACCAGUGGCGAAGGCGGCUCACUGGCCCGUAACUGACGCUGAGGCACGAAAGCGUGGGGAGCAAACAGG